AUUGAACGCUGGCGGCAGGCCUAACACAUGCAAGUCGAGCGGAGCGGCGGACGGGUGCGUAAUGCCUAUGAAUCUGCCUGGUAGUGGUGGAUAACGUCCGGCAACGGGCGCUGAUACCUCAUACUAUCAUAUGCGCCUCGGUCUGAUUAGCUAGUUGGUGGGGUAAAGGCCUACCAAGGCGACGAUCCGUAACUGGUCUGAGAGGAUGAUCAGUCACAUUGGAACUGAGACACGGUCCAGACUCCUACGGGAGGCAGCAGUGGGGAAUAUUGCACAAUGGGCGAAAGCCUGAUGCAGCCAUGCCGCGUGUGUGAAGAAGGUCUUCGGAUUGUAAAGCACUUUAAGUUGGGAAGCGUUACCAACAGAAUAAGCACCGGCUAACUUCGUGCCAGCAGCCGCGGUAAUAC
rnacentral:rRNA from 1 species